rnacentral:rRNA from 1 species
UACGAAGGGGGCUAGCGUUGCUCGGAAUCACUGGGCGUAAAGCGCACGUAGGCGGAUUGUUAAGUCAGGGGUGAAAUCCUGGAGCUCAACUCCAGAACUGCCUUUGAUACUGGCGAUCUCGAGUCCGGGAGAGGUGAGUGGAACUGCGAGUGUAGAGGUGAAAUUCGUAGAUAUUCGCAAGAACACCAGUGGCGAAGGCGGCUCACUGGCCCGGUACUGACGCUGAGGUGCGAAAGCGUGGGGAGCAAACCGG